rnacentral:rRNA from 1 species
UACGUAGGGUCCGAGCGUUGUCCGGAAUUAUUGGGCGUAAAGAGCUCGUAGGCGGUUUGUCGCGUCUGCUGUGAAAUCCCGAGGCUCAACCUCGGGCCUGCAGUCGAUACGGGCAGACUAGAGUUCGGUAGGGGAGACUGGAAUUCCUGGUGUAGCGGUGAAAUGCGCAGAUAUCAGGAGGAACACCGGUGGCGAAGGCGGGUCUCUGGGCCGAUACUGACGCUGAGGAGCGAAAGCGUGGGGAGCGAACAGG